UAGGGAAUCUUCGGCAAUGGACGAAAGUCUGACCGAGCAACGCCGCGUGAGUGAAGAAGGUUUUCGGAUCGUAAAACUCUGUUGUUAGAGAAGAACAAGGAUGAGAAGAGAAUGUUCAUCCCUUGACGGUAUCUAACCAGAAAGCCACGGCUAACUACGUGCCA
rnacentral:rRNA from 1 species